AACAAUACCAUCAUAACUGAACAGUGAUACUGUGGUAAGUUUUCUUCGACUAUCACCUGUGGUUUCAACAAUUACAUGAUUUUGUGGUAUCCAUCAUUUUUUAAAUAUUCCUUAACAAGUACAACUGUACAACACCAUUCUAUUUUCCUGACAGCACAAGAAGAAAGUCAGUUUUAAUGUUGUGAAAUAUUAGAAUUAACAGUAACCUUAACAGAGAGAAAGAAGUCCUUGAACAUAUUAUAUAGGUAUAAUUUACUUGACCAUUGAUUACUGUUCACGGGAUUUACUUGAUAUACAGUCACCUUUUACAUUCCUGUCAAAUUUAAAAAUGUUUCUUUUACCUUCUAAACUCAAUUGAAUAAAUGUCAAUCGAUUGGGUUUGUCACCAAUGACAUGCAAUAUAAAUAAUAUCAUGCACAUGUAUUAUGUUUUUCCGGAACACAAUCAGUGUUUUAUAGAAGAAAAAAGUUUUAUGAAAGGGCAAUGAAGUGAAGUUUCUGUCAACGACACUUCAAAUGCAGAUCAAUUAAGGCUGUGUAACAUCUGCCCCAGAUAAGCUUUUUAAUUCUCCGGCUAUGCUCGUUUAAAAUGGCGUUACAUUCGGUUUUCUUAAUGUAAAUGAGAUAAGGUAUAGGUAAGAAAAUCUAUAGGAUGUAAAGAUAUUAAAUUAUGUAUCAACUUCCCUAAAUUAGCCUCUACUCGCCAUAUGACACCGUAGGCUUUAGAUCAACUCUGUAUUUGAUCAACAAGCCCCCAUGUCGAUUCCUGGAAAAGAGCAAUUCAAUCCACCAUGCUAGAAUAGACAAGUUCUUGUAGAAAACAGUAUAUUACUAAAUCAUGGUACGUAUGAUAUAAUCAGAUGAUGAAUGAAACUCGUCCAAAGCUGGAAUUUCGAAGUUGCCUGUAGUGGGUUGGUAAACAAAUUGGUUAUUACAUGAAAUAUAAAGAUAGGUGUUUGGAAUCGAUGUGGAUUCUUUAUUUCUAAAAUGUUCUUAAAUUGUGAAGAAGACCUUUGAAAUGUUAAAAUAUUUUUACAUUCUGUCUCUUGACUUGUUCAAAGCAAACAGGAAACAUUUAAUUUAUUUAAUAAAUCUAUAUGUAGUUAUGUAAUAAAAUAAACCACGAAUUGAAGUGGACGAUUUUCUUUUCAGACAUUUGUCACCUUUUCUCUAUCAUGUUUAUAUUCAGAGUCUACCCGGUUCUUAUAUUGCAACACAUUACUGUUAAUGAAAAUUUAAUACAUUCACUUAUAAAUGCACAGGAAGUUGAUUUAUAAUUAAUUGCUAUAAAUGUACAAAUAUUUAGACUUAUUUGACUCGAACAUUUACUCUAAAUUAAAGAUCUCUCUAUUACCGGUAUUUCCAAUUAAAUUUUAAUUUCUAAUUUAUUCCUAUUAAAUGUGUAAUUCUGUAAUUUAAUACACACAAAAAAAUAUACACAAGGACUUUUUCUCGAUAUAUUAUAAGUGGAAUAGAGCAUGGAUUCUUCUUUCAAUGGCAUGUAUAGACUCCAUGUCAGUAAUACAGACAUUAACAUUGCUUCUUUGUUUUAAAUUCAUAUAUUUACGGAGGAAAAGGAUAAACACCAUGCUUAUCAGAUACCUGGCAUGUAAAAGGUGAAAAAUGUAGUUAUGCCGUCAGGAAACGUUAUAACAUUUGUUGCAUGUUUUGUACAGGACUAAUUUGGAAGUUGACGCGAACUUGGACAAUCCUAUACGGAAUGCCCUAUCAUUUCCCUGUCGAAAUUCCUCGGUUGAGGACUAGUGGUAUUCACAAGACUUGUUUGACUGUGCAGAUAAGUUUGAAAAGUUUGCAUACUUGGAUUUUUUAAAGUCGUAAUAUGGUCUGUCUGCCUUGAUAAGAGAACUCUUUCACAAUGUUGCCUCUGUAGGAAAUCAAAUAUAGAAAUAGAUCCAAACACCCGCCUGGUAAAGCCUUCCGAUACAAAAUAAUGAACGGAAAAUCCAGAGAAUGCACCAUUGACUAACGUAAGCUUGUUUGGAGUCAGAAGAGGGGGACAGAUAUUUACAAGUGUUUACUUUUUAGAUACAAUUUCAGAUAUGUACCUGAACUAAUACGGGAAAUCGAGAGUUUAUUUCCUUGUUCUAUUUCAAAUAAAUCAUUAUUUGUUUCGAUAAUUAAGAAUUAAUGAAAUGAAAUUAUAAAAUGUUUACUACAUUUUGUCUCAGUCUGCAUAAUCUAAUAUCAGGAAUAUCAAAACAUCUAAAAUGAAGUUAAUUGUACAUAAUAUGACAUUAAGAUACAUCCAGAUAAGACCUCGAAACUUUGUCCUCGAGUAUUGUUAGCCCUCAUAAACUGUCUCCAAAUCAUUUGUAGAUUCGGGAUGAGUAAAAUGGCGGGCUCCUCCAUGGAAAAUAUUCGAUUUUGCCUUUCUUUCUAAACUGGGUCAAAACAUGCAGCAGACGACAUGAGAGGUUUGUACCAUCAUGUUCCUGCACCGAUAAUAGGAGAUGCUGAAAUUUGCUCCGUAAAAGUGAAAGAAAAUACCCGUAUCAUCUCAUAUGCAGACCAGACAAAAAUGAUAAAAGAACAAUUGUUUCUUGUUUAGACUUGUAAGAAGAGCAUGCCAGAUACAUAUCGCUAAAUAUGUCAAUGAAAUGUGAAUAAAGAGGAUUGUAUUCACUGCU